UACGAAGGGGGCGAGCGUUGUUCGGAAUUACUGGGCGUAAAGGGCGCGCAGGCGGCCCUUGAAGUCAGGCGUGAAAGCCCGGAGCUCAACUGCCGGAAUUGCCAUUGAAACUGUUGAACGUUGAGGAUGAGAGAGGUGAGUGGAAUUCCCAGUGUAGAGGUGAAAUUCGUAGAUAUUGGGAAGAACACCGGUGGCGAAGGCGGCUCACUGGCUCAUUACUGACGCUCAGGCGCGAUGAGCGUGGGGAUCAAACAGG
rnacentral:rRNA from 1 species